CGUAGGGUCCAAGCGUUGUCCGGAUUUAUUGGGCGUAAAGAGCUCGUAGGUGGUUCAGUAAGUCGGAUGUGAAAACUCGGGGCUCAACCCCGAGACGCCAUCCGAUACUGCUGUGACUUGAGUCUGGUAGGGGAGAUCGGAAUUCCUGGUGUAGCGGUGAAAUGCGCAGAUAUCAGGAGGAACACCGGUGGCGAAGGCGGAUCUCUGGGCCAGCACUGACACUGAGGAGCGAAAGCGUGGGUAGCAAACAGGAUUAGAUACCCUGGUAGUCCACGCCGUAAACGUUGGGCACUAGGUGUGGGGUCCUAUCGACGGAUUCCGUGCCGUAGCUAACGCAUUAAGUGCCCCGCCUGGGGAGUACGGCCGCAAGGCUA
rnacentral:rRNA from 1 species